rnacentral:rRNA from 1 species
CCUGAGAAACCCAAAAGAUCGAACGGGGAGAUUCAUCGUCAACGAAGCUGGCUCCCGUUGGUGCGCGAUACCCCGAAUGGACCUUAACCGGUUCCAAGGCGUGGGCACACCACCUUCGGUGAACGUUCCGGCGACCGUAGUCGUGCACUUCUCCCUUAGUAGAACGUCGCGACCCGUUGUAUGUCGGUCUACGGCCUGAGCUACUUUGCCUGUCGCGGCGCAUUUAUUACGCUCGCGGCAGAGGCUCGGUCGCCUGACCGGCUGUACGACGGUACUCUGACGGUAUCGGGCCGCAACCAAAUCCAUUCUCGAAUGUAUGUGCGUCAGGACCCGCGGCAAGCUCGGACAGAUUAACCCGGCGUGGUGCGGACCUAGUGUCCCCCCCGGGUCUGACCAGCUGUUGGCAUGCGGUGUUCUUGGACUUGGCCAAGCUUUGAAUUACCGGUCGGCGACGCUACUGCUUUGGGUACUCUCAGGACCCGUCUUGAAACACGGACCAAGGAGUCUAACAUGUGCGCGAGUCAUUGGGAAUAUGUAAACCUAAAGGCGAAAUGAAAGUGAAAGCGGCUUUGCGUCGUCCAAGGGAGGAUGGGCCGCUUACGUCCCGGCCCCGCACUCCCGGGGCGUCUCGUUCUCAUUGUGAGGAGAGGCGCACCCAGAGCGUACACGUU